GAACCUGUCACAGACAGCUGCCGAGUCUCCGGCUGGCACAUGCAAUCACCCGGCGGAGCAAAGUGCGAAGACCGACGUCAUCGUGGAACGCUGACGCAACGACCUUGCCAAGCGGCCCACCUCCCGACGCUCCCACCGGCCACCCACCUUAAAGUCCAACGGGCUGUGAGUCACCAGUCGCCAUUGAUUUCCAUUAGAUUUCGAUUCGAUGACUGGCACUCAUGCGGAUCACAGAUUACAGGAUGUCGGACGACUUAGUUGGAUUUCUGGGAAUCUCGAAAUCCCACUGAGCAAUGCUAUGAUAUUGACUUCGAUUGCAUUGCGGAACUGACUUGGAUUACGAUUGGAUUACAACACGGAACUUUAUGAUAAUAUUUUCCAAAAGCCUUUGGUCCAGAUUAUUAAUGAUAUCAUGUAACUAAAUAAUCAUUGAAUAUUUCCCCUAGCAAGAACUUACAUAUAUAUAAUAAUUAUAAGUCCGACGACUUU
ensembl:ncRNA lncRNA:CR44526 long non-coding RNA:CR44526